AUAUCAAUAAGCGGAGGAAAAGAAACCAACAGGGAUUGCCUUAGUAACGGCGAGUGAAGCGGCAACAGCUCAAAUUUGAAAUCUGGCUUUAGGGCCCGAGUUGUAAUUUGUAGAGGAUGUUUUGGGUACCGCUGCAGUUUAACUUUCUUGGAACAGAAUAUCAGAGAGGGUGAGAGUCCCGUCUGGAACUGCGGUAGGGCCUGUGUAAAACUCCUUCGACGAGUCGAGUUGUUUGGGAAUGCAGCUCAAAAUGGGUGGUAAAUUCCAUCUAAAGCUAAAUAUUGGCCAGAGACCGAUAGCGCACAAGUA
rnacentral:rRNA from 1 species